CACAAGUCCUGAAUGUUUGAUGCGUUUUUGUUGCGUUUUUGAUGCGUUUUGUAUUUUGCGGUUUUGGAAGCAGCAUGUGAUCAAACACCUGCCAUUUAAAAAUAAACUACCCAGGAUGCCUUGGGAAUGAGCAAAUCCAGUUUGGGCUGCAACAAACAUGGUGAGGACAGAGCAUUUGAUCAGCCUGGUGAGGCCAAGAACCUAUCUGUACACUCCUGCUGAUCCCCAACACAAGGAUUGUAGAAAACAGGACCAGGGGUGACUUGAAAUUGCCAAGGAGUUGUAUCCACAAUGGGAUAGUUUCUCCAAGAAGCAAGCAGACUUGAAAUCACAGACACCUGCUGGGAUGAUGAACCUGGUGAAGAAGACUCAUCAGCGCAAACACAGGAGCCUCCAAACACACAAUCUCCAAAUCAGCAAAGGGCAGAGAUAGCUGAAGAAGAGGAACAGGAGGAGGGGGGGAGGGGACUGCUGCACCAGUGCCCAAUUGUCUCACAACUAAGAGGAGGGGUGGCAACAAACGGUCAAAUAAAAAAGAGUCUACAAAAAUGUACACUUUAUUA